UAAAUGAAUAAAUGAUAAGGGUACAAACAGUUUAUAUAUUAGAUACUUUACAAUUUUUUACUUAUAGGAAAUGUUUAACAAUCUGUCAAAAAAAAGAAAAUUAAAUUCUGAUGAAAAAAAGAUGUUUGUCGUCUUUUGAGUUUGCACGGAAGCAAGUGGUUUAUUAAAGAUCAAUAUAUGAAAGAAACGAGUUUUCUUUAACACUUUUAUAUAUAAGUUGCAUAAAAAUUCAUACUUAUCAUACUUAUGUUUACUCUACAUUAAACUUUUUCUUUUUUCUUCUACUAUUUUACUUUUUUUUUUUAGGUAAAAAAGGUUACUUUUUUUCUUAGGUAAAAAAUUGCUCUAAAAGAUCUCCAUAACUUAGCCGCAAAACAGAAAGUUCUACCUUGACAUUCUACACUACCACAUGAUGUUUGUUUAGUAUUCCUACUGUUGAAAUAUGGUUUUAACUUAGUAAAUUUCUAUGAAUUGAAAUUUUCUUUAUUGAUCAUUAGUCAUCAGUUAGUAAAAAAAUUAUAAUCAACAUUAUUUAGGUAACAGCACCUUUGUUAUUUUUGGCAUUACAAAGUAGUUAUGUACUCUUAAUCAUUAUGUUGAGAAUUUGUGUAGUAGUUUAUUGACAUUUAAGUAAUUAUUGUUUUUUGUUUCAGGUUUUGACUAUUUUUAUCUCUACUCUUGGAAAUAAUGUAGUAUUCUUCAAUUAUAUCGGAGUAUACAGCUUAAAUGAAAUAAUAUAAAAUCCAUUU